rnacentral:rRNA from 1 species
GACGAACGCUGGCGGCGUGCCUAAUACAUGCAAGUCGACCUUAGUGGCGAACGGGUGAGUGACACGUGGGUGACCGGCCCAUCAGAAGAGUGUAACACUUGGCAACAGGUGCUAAUACCGUAUACGGGUGGAUGGACUCGCGGGGCAUUAGCUAGUUGGUGGGGUAACGGCUCACCAAGGCCACGAUGCAUAGCCCACCUGAGAGGGUGAUCGGCCACAGUGGGACUGAGACACGGCCCAAACUCCUACGGGAGGCAGCAGUAGGGAAUCUUCGGCAAUGGGCGAAAGCCUGACCGAGCAACGCCGCGUGAGUGAAGAAGGUUUUCGGAUCGUAAAACUCUGUUGUUAGAGAAGCGGUAUCUAACCAGAAAGCAACGGCUAACUACGUGCCAGCAGCCGCGGUAAUUC